rfam:Trachymyrmex zeteki contig8866, whole genome shotgun sequence.
CAAAUGGCCCUUUUCAGGGCCCCCUGUAUAUAGAUAAACGUGUAA